CCUACGGGAGGCAGCAGUGAGGAAUAUUGGUCAAUGGGCGGGAGCCUGAACCAGCCAAGUCGCGUGAGGGAAGACGGUCCUAUGGAUUGUAAACCUCUUUAGGCGGGGAGCAAUGCCGGGCACGCGUGCCCGGAGGGAGAGUACCCGCAGAAUAAGCAUCGGCUAACUCCGUGCCAGCAGCCGCGGUAAUACGGGGGAUGCGAGCGUUAUCCGGAUUUUUUGGGUUUAAAGGGUGCGUAGGCGGAUUUUUAAGUCAGCGGUAAAUUGUCCGGGCUCAACCCGGGCCGGCCGUUGAAACUGGGGAUCUUGAGUGGGCGAGAAGUAUGCGGAAGGCGUGGUGUAGCGGUGAAAUGCAUAGAUAGCACGCAGAACUCCGAUUGCGAAGGCAGCAUACCGGCGCCCGACUGACGCUGAGGCACGAAAGCGUGGGGAUCGAACAGGAUUAGAUACCCGAGUAGUC
rnacentral:rRNA from 1 species